CUCUACUCCCCUUCCUGACACCCCUUUCCGGGCCCCUGUAGGUGCGGCAACUACCCUAGGGCAAACUGUCUUAGAGACAGUCCUCAGGGAAGCUGCAGAAAAGGCCGGAGCCAAGGCCUGGAGGUGGAAGAGGGGAUGCAGACCCUCCCUGGCAACAAGAAAAGGGCAAACUCCAACCGCAGGGAGAUGAUGCCACUUGUGGGCUCUCAGAUUGGAGGGAAACGAGCUGAAUGACGGGGCCUCGCGCACAGCUCGGUGGAGGGAGAGACAGUGCGUGCGGAGGUGGAGGGGAGGGUCCUGUUGAACUCCCCACCAGCCCCUGGGAGGGGAGAUCGGAGGGUGAGCUCGGCGGUGACGCGGGGCCCUCACGUGACCGCGAGCUGCAGAGCGACGCAGCCUUCGGUGCAGUCGUCACUCCAGUCUGGGUACCAGCUCCCCGCUUCCCUGCACACGGCGGGCUGGCAUCGGGCCCCGCGGCAAGUGGAGCAGGUAAGGGCCCCGCGCACCGAAGCCAGGGCGGCAGCGGACUGCCAACCACAAAGCUGGCCUGGGGAUGGGGGAGAAAGCGGGCUCAAGUUCCCGGAACCUUCGCUCGAUUCUCCCAAUCCUUGCUCCUCCUGCCUAAGUCUGUGCUGGGGAACCCUGGGCUUUGACAGGGCGGAUGGUGGGGGGAGUGUCUCAAGAGGGAAAUGCAGAGAUUGAGAUGUUCCUUCUUCUCUGACUCUAAUCACUGAUCGCACAUGUCCGCUCCGCUUCCUGCUAGUUUCAGUGGAAGGGACACGCCGCCACGGUGGCGUUUGCAGAGAAAAUGGUGGGCCUUAGUGACUGGACGGCGGGGUUGGUGCGAGUGGCGUCUCUCAAGGUGCGGAGGGACGUUUGAUAACUGGGUUCCUGAAUCCAGAAAAGCGAGUAUUGGGAUCUGUGUCCUGGGCGCUAGUCCAAGCACUCAGUGCCUUUCCUCUCUCCUGUCUGACGACAGUGAUUCGUGUGGCAGUGUUUGUGGCGAGGCGAGGGAAGAAGAGGAGCAAACUGCACAGGAUCUGCGGAGGUCUUCCCAUAGGGCAACAGUAGGGCUCUUUACCACUGAAAGCAAAGGAAAGUGGGAGACUGGCCUGGGACUGUGGAGCUGGGUCUACAGGCCUGAAAGCUUGAGAUCACUGGAAGCAAGGAAAUACGGAGGAAAUUAUUCCUGAUCAGUAUAUGCUGGUAAGAGGAUGGGGAUUGCCUGGGUAGACAUCUAAGGUGGGUUGUUGGAGGUGAGUGUCUAUCUGGAGGUAUCCAGUGUCUAGUCUGGAGGAUACUCAGCCUUCCCCUUUUCCAGGCACUCUCCCCACCAUCCCUUCACUUACCCCACACCUUCACCUUUAUUGUGAUAACAGGGCAUGGGGUGAAUUUAAGAGGAUAGAGAGGGGUUUGUUAAUAAUAUAUGUCAUGGUAAACAAAAUCUUCACUCCUGUCUGUUCCUCCAUCUGUCUGUCUGUCUCUAGGUCCACAGAUCUCAUGAGUUUAUAGAUCUCCUUUAGGAUAUACCUCCAAUCAAGAGAAGGAAAGAGGUGGUAACUGCCUUGAUCAUUACAGGUUGGUAUGAGGGUGGGCACCUGUGGGAGUGGUGACCAGAGUAGGUCCAGUAAAAAUCAGGGUGUGAGGGCUUCAGUCUACCAUCCAUAGUCAGUGCUACCACCAUCCUUUCCACUGUUCAUUUGAUGUAAGAAAAUGUGUAUGGAAGUACCCUGGGGGAAAUUAUUGGGCACUGGGAAAAAUGGAGAGGAGAUAAAAGGGAUGGAAAGAGAAUUUGCUAAUUAUCCUCUUCUCCCACAAAACACAUCAUUUUUACACUUUCUUAUUCUUCUGUGUAUCUGUCUAUGUGAUGCACAGAAUUAGAAGAGAAACUUUAGCCAGUUUCCUUCCUCCACUUCUAGGUCCAUCUCCAGUGGCAGCUCUGGUGGCCUUUGAGUGGCUGAAGACCAGCACCCUUGCAGGCUUACAUGCAGACCUACUACCCUCUUUUCCCAGUCUAAUUGAGCCCUUCUGUAUCUUGUUCUUG
ensembl:lncRNA